GCGGGGGCGGGGGGGGAAAGAGGGGGGGGGGGCCGUUUGUCCCGCCCUUCCCUGCAAUGCGUCAAACUGGGGCGAGCCACUGCCUGGUGGUGGUGGGUAGCCUGAAAUGUGUGACUGUGUGGGGCCGUGAGGCGUAACGAGGCGAAGGGGGAAAUUGUGUGACUGUUAGAGAAGCAAAUACAUCGUCUUCGUGGUCAGGGAGUGGUAAAAAUGGUGGCGGAAGGUGCAGAAGUACUUUCUUAGUUCUCCCUUCUGACAGAUGGAAGAUGGUGCAACCCAAAAUGCUGGUCUGGAAGCCCCGCCCCCAAUUGGGCCCUCGGGGUGGCGGGGUCUUCAAGGUUCAGCUUUUAGCCUGAAAGUUCCGCUCAUCGCCCGUCGGGGCAGGUGUCUGCACCAUGAGACACACUCCACAGGUGUGCGAAGCCCCUGUCCUCGCUUCACUUCACUUAUAAUCGGUUCAGGGUCUGUUAAACGGGCUGUUCCAAGACAGCCCUGGGAACAAGGGUUCCAACCACGGAAGAAGAGUGGGAAAGUUAGCUGAGACUAUUUACUGGCGCUCAGAAACGGCAACAUCCCCCCCCCGCCCCCCAACUUUUCUUGUUUUGAAUUAGGGCUAUAUUUGCGUCUGUGCCCUGCCCCCUCUCGGUGAUUGGCUGACAAGUGUCAAAUGAGUCAAGCUGGACCAAUCUUUAUGUUACACCUGGAACAGGAUGUAGGCUGAGCCAAUGAGAGGCCUUCCAUGGGUUUUUGGAUCUAGACUUUUGGGGGCAGGAAGUCUUUUCCUUUUGUGUGGUGAGGGAGUGAAGAAAUAGAUCUGGACCUAUCUAUGACCUUUUGGAAGGAAAGUUAUGACCAACCAAGAUAGCAUAUUGAAAAGCAGAGACAUUACUUUGCCAACAAAGGUCCAUCUAGUCAAGGCUAUGGUUUUUCCAGUGGUCAUGUAUGGAUGUGAGAGUUGGACUGUGAAGAGAGCUGAGCACUGAAGAAUUGAUGCUUUGGAACUGUGGUGUUGCAGAAGACUCUUGAGAGUCCCUUGGACUGCAAGGAGAUCCAACCAGUCCAUCCUAAAAGAGAUCAGUCCUGGGUGUUCAUUGGAAGGACUGAUGCUAAAGCUGAAACUCCAAUCCUUUGGCCACCUCAUGCGAAGAGUUGGCUCAUUGGAAAAGACUCUGAUGCUGGGAGGGAUUGGGGGCAGGAGGAGAAGGGGACAACAGAGGAUGAGAUGGCUGGAUGGCAUCAGGGACUCAAUAGACAUGAGUUUGAGUGAACUCCGGGAGUUGGUGAUGGACAGGGAGGCCUGAUGUGCUGUGAUUCAUGGGGUCUCAAAGAGUGGGACACAACUGAGUGACUGAACUGAGCUGAACUGAUGACCUUUUUCACACCCCAGAGGAGAGAAUAAAACUGAUUCCAGAGAAAAGCAAUGAAGAGGUGGAGUGAGAGAGUCCUGUUGCCAUUCCCUUCCCUGAUUCCAGCUUGAGGCCAGCUGCACACUAUCGUGCCAGGCUUUUGAUUAUAUGAGCUAUUAAAAUGUCCCAUUUAUCCCAAGCUGGUUUGAGUUGAGUUUCUGUUACUUAUGACAAAAGAAUUUGUGAUGGAUGUGACCCAGGCUAAAGUCUGUCUUGAUCAUCAGCAUUGGCCCUGAAACAGAGAGGGCCAAGGACCCAGUCAUCAUUUGCUGAACAACUAAGCAAAGGAAGUCACACAUAUGCUCUCUCUCCCUGUUUCUCCUUUCCAUGUCUUUGAGUCUCAGUUUCUACCAGGAAGACCUUAAUUUCUGAAUUACUUAGGCCUAUGAAAUGAUAGAUAUACUACUAUCAGCACAUAUGAAGACAUACUGUGUUCCAGGCACCAUUUCACCUGCUUUGACUGCGUUAGUUCAUUUAAUUCUUACAACCUCCCUAUGAGUUUGUUACUUUCACUUUCCACCUUUUGAAACUGUUUUAUUGCCACUGGAAUUAGAUGAGAUCAGAGAGGUAUAAAGCCUUGACCAAGAACAGAGAAGUAAAGUAGCUUGCCUAGGGUCACACAGUAGGAGGCAGAGUCAGGAUUUUAACCCCAGCAGUUUGACUGAAAACCCCACACUCUUAACCACAUUAUACCACAGGUGGGAGAGAUCCUACUUUUUUUCCAGAAUCCACUUUCUCUGUUUUCCAGACUAAUAGAAUUUUAGCUGGGCACAUUGCCAUCCUAAGUAAAAAUGACAUUUCCUAACCAUCCUUGCAGUUAUGAGUCCUCAUUUGACGGAAUUCUGGCCCAAAAGGAUGUGAACAGAAGUGAUACAUGAAACUUCUGGGCAUACCCUUAAAGGGGGAGGACAUACCUUCCCUCUUCUUGCCUGCUGGUAGGGCAGCCAUCAGACCAAUGGUGACCACACUCACCUGGGACUUUGAUGAUUUUCCUGAGGAGAGCCCACUUUUCCUUCCCCAGGGCCAAACUUGUAUUUGAGAGGGAAAUAAACUUUUAUAUUGCUUACGCCACUGGUAUUUUGGAUCACUUGGUUAUAACAUAUACAUGUCCUCUCUUUGGUUACUGCCCUUGUUUUGGUGAAAGCCGACUCUUGUGCCUAAUUUAGUGAGAGGUCAUGGGGUUCGGGUGUUAACCAGUCAGCAUGUCCUACUUUCAUAACUGACUGCUUCAGAGCCAAUUGUAUGACUUUCUCUCUCUCUUUUUUUGUAUUUUUUGCAUGUGUGACAUAAUUACACUCAAUAAAAUGCCGCAGAUCUCAAGUAUUCCGUUGAAUUGUGUACACCCAUGUAACCACCACCCAAGACAAGUUAUAGAACACUUCCAUCACCCCAGAAGAUAGAUCCCUGUGGCUCUUUCCAGUCAAUUCCUGUUCCCCUCAAGCAACUAUUGUUCUGGCUUCUGUCAUUGGAGAUUAGUUCUGCCUGUUCUGGAAUUUUGUAGAAAUGGAAUCCAUGUAGCAUACAUUUUUCUGGUCUUGGCUUCUGUCACUCAAUGUAAUAUUUUUAAGCAAAAGUUGCAUGGAACAUCAGUUCAGUCAGUUCAGUCACUCAGUCGUGUCCAACUCUUUGAGACCCCAUGAACUGCAGCACGCCAGGCCUCCCUGUCCAUCACCAACUCCCGGAGUUCACUCAAACUCACAUCCAUCGAGUUGGUGAUACCAUCCAGCCAUUUCAUCCUCUGUUGUCCCCUUCUCCUCCUGCCCCCAAUCCCUCCCAGCAUCAGAGUCUUUUCCAAUGAGUCAACUCUUCGCAUGAGGUGGCCAAAGUACUGGAGUUUCAGCUUUAGCAUCAUCAUUCCAAAGAAAUCCCAGGGCUGAUCUCCUAGGCACCUUUAAAUUUUUCUUAGUACUAGCUCAACAGGUUGUUACCCCCCUUUUCUUAUUACCCUUUUAACCCUUUUUUUUGAUACCUAAUGCAUAUC
rnacentral:lncRNA from 1 species